rnacentral:rRNA from 1 species
GACGAACGCUGGCGGCGUGCCUAAUACAUGCAAGUCGAGCGAAGUUUUUCUGGUGCUUGCACUAGAAAAACUUAGCGGCGAACGGGUGAGUAACACGUAAAGAACCUGCCUCAUAGACUGGGACAACUAUUGGAAACGAUAGCUAAUACCGGAUAACAGCAUUAACUGCAUGGUUGAUGUUUAAAAGUUGGUUUUGCUAACACUAUGAGAUGGCUUUGCGGUGCAUUAGCUAGUUGGUGGGGUAAAGGCCUACCAAGGCGACGAUGCAUAGCCGACCUGAGAGGGUGAUAGGCCACACUGGGACUGAGACACGGCCCAGACUCCUACGGGAGGCAGCAGUAGGGAAUCUUCCGCAAUGGGCGAAAGCCUGACGGAGCAACGCCGCGUGAGUGAAGAAGGAUUUCGGUUCGUAAAGCUCUGUUGUUAGGGAAGAAUGAUUGUGUAGUAACUAUACACGGUAGAGACGGUACCUAACCAGAAAGCCACGGCUAACUACGUG